rnacentral:rRNA from 1 species
CUACGGGUGGCAGCAGCAACGAAUAUUCCGCAAUGGACGCAAGUCUGACGGAGCGACGCCGCGUGCAGGAUGAAGUCCCUCGGGAUGUAAACUGCUGUCAGGGGCUAGAAAGAAAGUGAUCAGCCCCAAAGGAAGCAUCGGCUAACUCCGUGCCAGCAGCCGCGGUAAUACGGAGGAUGCGAGCGUUGUUCGGAAUCACUGGGCUUAAAGCGCAUGUAGGCGGGGCUCAAGGUGCUUUGUGAAAGCCCCCGGCUCAACCGGGGAAUUGCUUGGCAAACCAGGGCUCUUGAGGCAGGUAGAGGUGACCGGAACCUUUGGUGGAGAGGUGAAAUUCGUAGAUAUCAAAGGGAACGCCGGUGGCGAAAGCGGGUCACUGGGCCUGUCCUGACGCUGAGAUGCGAAAGCGUAGGUAGCGAACGGGAUUAGAUACCCCCGUAGUC